AGGUAAAUACAAUAAUUCAUUCCACUUGAUUUUGUGUUUGUUUGUUCGUCUGUCUGUCAGUUUGUUUUUUCAAACAAAGAAGAAAUCGUGGAUUGAAAUUAAAUAUUUAUGUUUUGAUUCCAUUGGAUUUGAUUUGAUUCCAUCAGAUUAGGCGGUCUUCCUACCACAACGUGAUAAGAGUAUCAGAGAUUUCAAAGUUAAUCGACAUCUCAUAUGUCCAGACAUAUAUUAUAAACAGCGCUAAGAUUGUGUUCCUCAACGAAAGACCUCAGCAAAGACCUGGAAAAGGCGUCACCAAUACCUGUGAGAUUUGCUGUCGGAGCCUCCUUGAUUCUUUCCGAUUCUGUUCCCUCGGUUGCAAGGUGAUUUUUUUUACCCAAUGACCUACCCACUCUGUUU
rnacentral:lncRNA from 1 species